rnacentral:ncRNA from 16 species
CAUAGUAUAGUGGUUAGAACACCGGCUUCUCACGCCGGAGACCUGGGUUCAAUUCCCAG